GUCUAUGCCACACCAUCCUGAACAUGCCCCAUCUCAUGUGAUCUUGGAAGCUAAACAGGGUCGUGCCUGAUUAAUAACUGGAUGGGAGACCACCCCGGAACACUGGAUGCUGUCAGCU
rnacentral:rRNA from 1 species